rnacentral:tRNA from 1 species
UCUAAUAUGGCAGAUUAGUGCAGUAGAUUUAAGCUCUAAAAAUAAAGGUUUAACCUUUUAUUAGAA